UGGCUGUAGUAGCGCGGAGUCUGCAGUCAAUGGUCACGCCACUCGGUGAGCUUUGCCAGCACGGUUGGUAUCUCCGAGCAUAAAGCGUCUGCUCUUGUGAUUGUGCUGUCGGGGAUGGAGCUGGCCUCCCGUAUGCUGGUCUUCUUCGUCUACGGCAACCGAGGUGCGAUCAGUCAGAAUAUUGUCUUGGCCACGGUGUGUGUCAUGGAGCGGCUGCCACAUACGGACUUUUGAUUGUGCCUACAUUCGCUGUGGUCACCAUUUACGUGAUAAUUGUGGGUUUCGUAAGGGGAGUGAUUUUCUCGAUCACCUUCGGCGCCACCGUGGAUACCUUUGGUGUGGAGCGUGCGGUAGAAGCCUACUCCUCGCUGUUAGUUUCUUACGGGACAGCAGGUGCCUUAGGAUCCACUCUCGGUAUAAGUAAAGAUCUAACAGGCAGUUUCACCAUCACUCUGCACAUCACAGCUGUCCUCUUCCUCCUCGCCGCCAUUUUGUUCGU
rnacentral:misc_RNA from 1 species